rnacentral:rRNA from 1 species
CCCUUAGAUGUUCUGGGCCGCACGCGUGCUACACUGAGUGGAUCAGCGGGUCAGGUUGCGCGAAAGUGUUUCCUAAUCUUGAAAUCCGCUCGUGAUGGGGAUUGACGGUUGCAAUUUUCCGUCAUGAACGAGGAAUACCUUGUAAGCGCGGGUCAUCAUCCCGCGCUGAAUACGUCCCUGCCCUUUGUACACACCGCCCGUCGCUCCUACCGAUUGAGUGGUCCGGUGAGGCUUUGGGAUCUGAGCGGAAAGAGCGUUUCGCUGCUUCUGCUCGGAAAACUCAGUCGAACCUUAUCAUUUAGAGGAAGGAGAAGUCGUAACA